UACGAAGGGGGCUAGCGUUGUUCGGAAUUACUGGGCGUAAAGCGCGCGCAGGUGGUCUUGCAAGUCAGGGGUGAAAGCCCAGAGCUCAACUCUGGAACUGCCCUUGAGACUGUGAGACUUGGGUACGGGAGAGGUGAGUGGAAUUCCGAGUGUAGAGGUGAAAUUCGUAGAUAUUCGGAAGAACACCAGUGGCGAAGGCGGCUCACUGGCCCGUUACCGACACUCAGGCGCGAUAGCGUGGGGAGCAAACAGG
rnacentral:rRNA from 1 species